UCGCGGCUUCCAGGACACCGCCCAGCUCAAGCUCCUCCCCUAGGCCCCGGGUCCUACGCGCUUCGCUCCCUUCCCCAGACUGUCCCUAGUGCCUAGGCAGCGAAGGAGCCCAAAGACUUGGAAUGAGGAGACUGCUGGGGCUUGUUGCGGGAAUGGGAAAUGAGUGUAGAGGACCCAGAGACCGGAGGCUGCAAGCCUGGCUCCCAGAAACGAAAUCUGCCCACUCUGACAGCUCGGUUGAAGGUGAUUGAUGACUAUCUGGAGACCACAGUACGCAUCAUAUAAUAUCUGCUGCGUAAUUGCUUUAAUUUACAGAUGAAAAUACGAGUUCUCGGAUCGCAUUGGACCGCAGCCGGCCACGUCCGAGCUGCUUGCAAGGGAAAGCCAUCGGAAAUAAUGAAUAGCCGCUCCAUGCAAAUUAUUCAGACACUUUAGCGUCUGUAGCCGGGAGAGAUAUAUAAAGAACACGAGUCAAAUGACAUUAAUAA